UCCCAUAGUAACAAGAAUCCCAGAGUGGGAUUCCUGAAGGAGGGUUUUUGCCCGAAAUGUCUGCUGCUCAGAUGCUGCCUGACGUGCUGUGCUCUUCCAGCAACACUCUGACCUAGACUGUGGUCCCAGCAUCUGCAAUCCUCACUCUCCUCCAUCCCACAGUAACAGCAAUCUCUUCAAACCCCUCACAUCUAUAUCACACCUUCACCCUGUCGCGGGGAAAUAGGCUACGAAGAACAUGGCAUAGUCGUUCGGCUCCGGGGAAGUACUGGACAAUGAAGGAUACCCUGUCUGUUGCCGCUUGUGUCUGUCUCCUGUGGAGGUCAUUACAGUUUCUCACUGUGGUUGGCUGCACCAAUCUGCAUCCUGGAGCAAUGGGCCCAACUCCAUCCUGACCCACAUUCAUUGCCUCUAUUACAAAAGUUAACUUACAAAUAUGGUGUUAUAUAAGUUAUACAUCUUUCGUCAGUGUAAUUACUCAGGAACUCACUGGCAUU